UCUGCUUCUCCACACCCAGAGAAGGACUGGAGGGGGGGUGGGAACAGGAACCAAGCCUUGGUAUCUGAAGAGCUGAGAAAGCACUGGAGGAGAGGAGGCUAUCCAUGCUCCUUUGCCAUCCUCACUGAACUCUACCCUCCAGAACCCUAUCCUCUCCCGACACCCACAGUGGCAUCCUUUGUUCAGUCUUCAGUGUGGAUAGAAAAACUCCUAGUCCUAUUCUGCAUGUCUUGCUUGGCGAGUGAACUUGGGAAACACUCCCACAGGUUGAUUUCCUCAACCAAGAUGACGACCACGAUAGUGACUGGGCGGAGCCUUCAGUAUUCAGCUCUGAACUUCUCUUGCUAUUGAGGACUUUGACAGCUAGGGUCACAUCAGUCCCCUCACUCAUGUGAUGGUGGGACCACCUUAAUUCCAGAGACCAAAGUCUAAGGAAAUUCUCUUUCAGGCACCAGAGCAGCCACAUCCACCCCUGAAGAUGUGGAGACAGUCAGAGCCAGGGCCACAGCAUGGGGCAUUCUUAGGACUGGCACUAUGCCCUUCCGAACAAGUCUCUGGGGAAGUUGCUGUUCUCUCAGAGACUGAGAGCCUGGGAGAGAAAUGAUGUCUUGCCCGUCCUGCACAAUCUUCCAGCACAAAAAUAGCAUAUCAAUAAAUACCCACAGCUGA